rnacentral:lncRNA from 1 species
CGCCAGGCGAUCUGAAAAAUAAAUAUACCUGCAAGUUCCUUGCUUUGCCCCUGGGGACCCUGUGGGAUCCAGCCCAUCCACUUCUCCCGCCCUCCCACACUGUCUGGCUUUCACUCCUGGAGACCUUUCCAGUCUCGGUCUCGGGCUGCACAGAGCGGUGAUGCAAUGUCCGCAGAGAGGGUAGAGACCCUGUGAGUCCAGGAAGCAGAGAAUCCCAGGUUCCAAGGUGCCCAGGGUGUGAUGCAGAAAGGCCAGGGUACAUGCGGGGUCCCGGUUGCCCCCCUGGCCAGCGCUUCCUCUAAUCCACACUAUGGGCUUAUGAAGGUGGAUGCUCCUGAAGGCUCUAACGCAGCAUAUGCUCAUUGGAUGAUGGGCGACGACGGACUCUGUGGCCACCCCAGACCCGUGGAAAUCCUUGACAUCUGUUUGGGAGACAACCUGCAGCCCCACUCGGAAGCCCACCUAGGGGAGACCUGUGGCCACCCUGAACCUCUCGAACCUCACAGGGAACAGACCUGGGUCUCUGUCCCUCCUGAUGCUGUGAGGCCCGAUGUUUGUCCCCAGGGCUCCAGCCCAGAGCCCAUGCAUGUGGGGAGUGGCUCUUCCCAGGAACGGGCAGGACAAAAAUCCACCUCCCCCAGGUCUCCCAGGGACAACCAGCCUCCGGGGAGCCCAGGGCAGAGCCAGAGCACAUCCACGCAGGUGGUGUUCUGGGCGGGGAUCCUGCAGGCCCAGAUGUGCGUGCUAGACCUGGAGGAGGAGCUGGAGAAGACAGAAGGGCUCAGAGCUGAGUUGAGAUGCUGCAUUCCCACGUCCCCUGCUGACCUCCCCACUUUUCCCUCCAGCCCAGUUGGCCCCCGGAACUCGGGCCUCCUUCCCAGCCCACCCCUGGAUGCAGAUGAGGCCUCGGGGGAAGAUAGCAGCGGGCCAGAAGGGGAGACCCAGAACCCAGCAUGGCCGAGGGAGGGCACGCUGGACUUGUCUCCUGAGUGGAGUGCCGAGGAGGAGAGCAUCUUCUUUGACAACCCGCUCUUCCUGGAGAGCCCUUGCUCGGACACCAGUGCGUCUGAAACGCACUUUUCCUGGGGCUUCUCGGACUCCUAUGUAGAUGUGAGGACUGGGCCCCAGAGCCCGCAGACCCUGGAGCCUCCACCCCCGGGAGGCAGAGUGCCCUGGGAACUGGGCGAUGAGCCGGAUCUGGGGGAGAGCACAGCAGAGUCCAGCGGGCACACCACCCCUCCAUUCCCUGUGCCCACCUACAGGCCGCACUCUUUCUCCUGGGUCGUGGUGGACACCCCCGAGGGGGCUCCUGCAGCACCUUCCAGCCAGGAGGAGACCGAGAGUUCUCAGAGAGACAGCCUUGACCCUGCCUUGCCCGCAGCAUCCUGUGUGGACAAAACUCUGAGCUGGGAGACGGAACAUGUGGAAUAUAACGGCAGCCCUGCCACACAUCCAGUGCAGCCUUGGGUCGGGCCCAGCACCCAGGGCUGGCCAACCAAGGUCAUUCCUUCCUGGCCUCCAGGGCCUCUUAGCUCCCAGGACAGAGGUGACAGGGAUACAGAGUGUGUCCAGGAGUCUGCUCCCUGCACCGUGGCCCCUGGCCACCCCUGGGGGAGCCCAGCCUCUUCGCCGGAGCCGAGCAGCCCUGAGUCUGGGGUCAGAGGCCCCAGCUCCCUGCCCAGCCCUGUCUCCUCCCGGGAAGGCAGCCUGCGACUGCAGGGCCACCCCCCAGGCAGUGUUCUUCCCAAGUGGACACUAGAUGCUCCAAGCCCUUCAUUCCUGGAGACAGAUGGGGCAGAGCCAGGUUCCCUGGAAAAAGAGGAGGCAGGAGAGGCCCCAACCCAAGGGAAGGAAGUAAAGUUAAGCCCCGCCAGGACUGCAGAGGCCGGAGCCAGCCAGCCUGACGCUUGCCUGACUUCUGCAAAAUCGCUUCCUGGGAGCCCUAUGCCCCAAGUGCAACCCCCAGAGGAAGGCCAGAGGCCCCCAGCUGGAGACAGGCUGGCGAAUGGCGUCAGGACUGACAAGGUGGCCUGGAACUUGGCCUCUCGCCUCUAUCACCUGGAGGGCUUCCGGAAGUCUGAAGUGGCCGCCUACCUGAGGAAGAACAAUGACUUCAGCAGGGCCGUGGCUGAGGCGUACCUGUCCUUCUUCCAGUUCGGAGGCCAGAGCCUGGACCGCGCGCUCCGGGGUUUCCUCCAGGCCCUGGUGCUCAGUGGGGAGACCCAGGAACGAGAGCGGAUCCUCUACCAGUUCUCCAAGCGCUUCCAUCACUGCAACCCCGGGCUUUUCUCCUCAGUAGAUUGCGUGCACACCUUGACCUGCGCCAUCAUGCUCCUUAACACGGACCUGCACGGACAGAACAUUGGAAAGAGCAUGAGCUGCCAGGAAUUCAUAACCAACCUGAACGGCCUGCGGGAUGGCGGAAACUUCCCCAAAGAACUGCUCAAGGCCCUCUACUGGUCUAUCCGAAGUGAGAAACUCGAGUGGGCCGUGGAUGAAGAAGACACAGCCAGGCCCGAGAAGGCCCGGCCAUCUCCGCCGGCUGGCAAGAUGAGUAACCCUUUCCUUCAGCUGGCCCAGGACCCCACGGUGCCCACCUACAAGCAGGGCUUCCUGGCCCGGAAGAUGCACCAGGAUGCAGAUGGCAAGAAGACGCCAUGGGGUAAGCGCGGCUGGAAGAUGCUCCACACCUUACUUCGAGGGAUGGUCCUCUACUUCCUGAAGGGAGAGGACCACGGCCUUGAUGGGGAGAGUUUGGUGGGGCAGAUGGUGGAUGAGCCGGUGGGGGUGCACCACUCACUGGCCACCCCCGCCACCCACUACACCAAGAAGCCACAUGUCUUCCAGCUGCGCACGGCCGACUGGCGCCUCUACCUCUUCCAGGCACCCACUGCCCAGGAGAUGACUUCCUGGAUUGCGCGCAUCAACCUAGCCGCCGCCACGCACUCAGCUCCGCCUUUCCCUGCCGCGGUGGGCUCCCAGCGCAAAUUCGUCCGGCCCAUCCUGCCUGUGGGCCCAACCCAGGGCUCCUUGGAGGAGCAGCAUCGAUCCCACGAGAACUGCCUGGACGCUGCCUCUGACGACCUGCUGGAUCUACAGAGGAACUUACCCGAGCGGCGAGGCCGCAGCCGCGAGCUGGAAGACUACCGCGUGCGGAAGGAGUACUUGGAGUACGAGAAAACCCGCUAUGAGACCUACCUGCAGCUGCUUGUGGCCCGUCUGCACUGCCCGUCAGAAGACCUGGACCUGUGGGAGGAGCAGCUGGGGAGGGAAGCUGGAGGCCUGCAGGAGCCCAAGCCCAGCCUGAAGAAGUCCCACUCCAGCCCAUCGCUGCACCAGGAUGAGGCCCCCACCACGGCCAAGGUCAAGCGCAACAUCUCAGAGCGCAGAACCUACCGGAAGAUCAUCCCCAAACGGAACCGCAAUCAACUGUGAAGCUGGGAUCACCUCACCAACUACC